CAAGAAUGAACGAUAUACUUUGAUGAAAUUGAAAAAUACGUGACUUCUAAUGCCCUAAAGACCAUCUUUACAAAAAAUGCAAACGCUAAACACUCUUCUGGAGAAAUGCAUCCAUCAGCCUAACGCCUGUUUUCAUGGAAAUGUCAAUAUUAUGGCCUUUUCUAAAACAUUUUCCUGGGAGUUUUCCUGCUGAGAUCAAGACUGGUCAAUCAAUCGCAAUGAUGGAGAAAACCACGCCGCUAUCAAAUCUCCUUGCUCAACAUCCGAUCGUUUCAUCUUCACAAUUGGCAUGAGAUUUGUCAUUCAUCGUAGUCUGUCGUCGAACUGCCAAGGAUUUGUCGAAAACCGUCUCUCUUCAUGUGAAAGCUGUCAUGUGGAAUAUAUAAUUCUUACGAGACAUUGUAAAUCAAUCAAUAAAUUUUGAUGCACAAUUCAA